GCGCAGCGGUGUUUGGCUUCUUGGCGGGGCCCCGCAGCUUAGUGGCUUCCUGGCUUUUGGCUUCCGGGUUCUGUGUCCAUCGUUUCUGCGGCAAGAGGUUGGGGUCCUGGCUGUUCACAGCCUCUCCUCGCUGUCCCCCAUCCUGCCAAGCCUGGCUGCAGCCUCCGAAGACACUCUCCGAGACCUUGGGUCUGGACCGUGUCUGCUGUGCUGUGCCACAUGUCAAGUUGAUAAGGAAAAGAGAAAAAGAGUGAUGCCUGCAUAGAAACAAAUGGUCAGUUCUUUUGAGGUAAGAGAGUAUCCAUGGUGUCAUCCCCAGAUCUUUCCUGUAAAUACCUGCCUUUUGGGGUAAGUUCCUGUCCUUGCGGUUCCAAAACGC